GAUGAACGCUGGCGGCGCGCCUAACACAUGCAAGUCGAACGGUUAAAGCACCUUUUCGGUGUGUAUAAAGUGGCGAACGGCGGAGUAACACGUGGGCAACCUGCCCUCCUCUUGGGGAUAGCCUCGGGAAACCGAGGAUAAUACCCGAUACUUCAAUGUGGCCGCAUGACGACAUUGAGAAAGCUUUUGCGGAGAAGGAUGGGCCCGCGGCCUGUUAGCUUGUUGGUGGGGUAGAGGCCUACCAAGGCAAUGAUGGGUAGCGGGGUUGAGAGACCGACCAGCCAGAUUGGGACUGGGACGCGGCCCCGGCUCCGACGGGAGGCAGCAGUGGGGAAUCUUGCACGAGGGGCGACAGCCGGAUGCAGCGACGCCGCGGGCGGGACGAAGGCCUUCGGGUUGUAGACCGCUUUCAGCAGGGACGGGGCGGUAAGUGACGGUACCUGCAGAAGAAGCCCCGGCUAACUACGUG
rnacentral:rRNA from 1 species